UUUAACUGAGCGUUCAGUUACUUGACGUAGACCCGAAACCGGGCGACCUACCCAUGAGCAGGAUGAAGCGAAAGUAAAAUUUCGUGGAGGUCCGAACCCACGAGCGUUGAAAAGCUCGGGGAUGACUUGUGGGUAGCGGUGAAAUUCCAAUCGAGCCCGGAGAUAGCUGGUUCUCCCCGAAAUAGCUUUAGGGCUAGCCUCAAGGUGAGAGAUACGGAGGUAGAGCACUGAAUGUCCUAGGGGGUAUUGCACCUACCGAAGACUAUCAAACUCCGAAUGCCGUCAUCUUAUACUUGGGAGUCAGACUGUGGGUGAUAAGAUUCAUAGUCGAAAGGGCAACAGCCCAGAUCGUCAGCUAAGGUCCCUAAAUGUAAGUUAAGUGGUAAAGGAUGUGGGAUUGCACAGACAACCAGGAUGUUGGCUUAGAAGCAGCCACUCAUUCAAAGAGUGCGUAAUAGCUCACUGGUCGAGUGAUCCUGCGCCGAAGAUUUCCGGGGCUAAAACUUACUACCGAAGCUACGGCAUCAGUAUUGAUGGGUAGGGGAGCUUCCCAUACGGGUUGAAGCAUGACCGUAAGGACAUGUGGACAGUAUGGGAGUGAGAAUGUUGGCAUGAGUAGCGAGAUGUGGGUGGGAAUCCCACAGGCCGUAAACCCAAGGUUUCCAGGGGAAGGUUCGUCCGCCCUGGGUUAGUCGGGACCUACGCGGAGGCCGAAAGGCGUAGGUGAUGGACAACAGGUUGAUAUUCCUGUACUACCGAUAACCGUUUGAGAGAUGGGAUGACACAGUAGGAUACGCUAAGCACACUGUUGGUUAUGUGUGCCCAAGCAUUGAGGCAGUCAAAGUAGGCAAAUCCGCUUUGAUAAUGCUGGGAUGUGAUGGGGAGCGAAAUUUAGUAGCGAAGUAGCUGAUUUCACACUGUCAAGAAAAGUCUCUAUCGAGGUUAAAGGUACCCGUACCGCAAACCGACACAGGUG
rnacentral:rRNA from 1 species